AGACGUCUACAUUAGACUACCCCUGUAGUCCCAGCCGUAAACUAUGCGCGUUAGGUGUAUCGGUGACCACGAGUCACCGAGGUGCCGAAGGGAAACCGUGAAACGUGCCGCCUGGGAAGUACGGUCGCAAGGCUGAAACUUAAAGGAAUUGGCGGGGAGCACCACAACGGGUGGAGCUUGCGGUUUAAUUGGACUCAACGCCGGGAAGCUCACCGGAUAAGACAGCGGAAUGAUUGCCGGGCUGAAGACUCUGCAUGACUAGCUG
rnacentral:rRNA from 1 species